GCCCGCUUGGCUAAGUGGUAUAGCGUGUCACUAGUAAUCCUAGAUGUCAUGACAAGAUCAGCGGUUCGAUUCCGCUAGUGGGCA